UACAGAGGGUGCGAGCGUUAAUCGGAAUUACUGGGCGUAAAGCGCGCGUAGGCGGCUUUGCAAGUCGGAUGUGAAAUCCCCGGGCUUAACCUGGGAACUGCAUUCGAGACUGCAUAGCUAGAGUAUGGGAGAGGGAGGCGGAAUUUCCGGUGUAGCGGUGAAAUGCGUAGAUAUCGGAAGGAACAUCAGUGGCGAAAGCGGCCUCCUGGACCAAUACUGACGCUCAUGUGCGAAAGCGUGGGGAGCAAACAGG
rnacentral:rRNA from 1 species